ensembl:lncRNA
GUGAGAUACAUUUCUCUAAGUGCAUCUUGUGGCUGCAAGUGGGAGAGGCAGGGCCUGAAUCUGGCCAAGAGAUCUCAGGACAAAGCUAAAUCGCAUUUCCAAAGCCAGUCCUUAGACUUGUUCAAGUGUAAGCAGCUUUCACUAAACAGAAGUUUGAUGAGCCGAGCAGGAGUGAAUCAGAAACACGAGGCUGAUGUUUGUCUUCAUCUGCAAGGGGGUUUGGCAGUCUCCAGGCUCCCUUGGCAAGCAGGAUUUGGGCGCUGCCAAAACCUGGAGCUCUGGCGUGAUAGCGUGACCCUUCCGGUCAGGCCAGGCCUCCCGCCCGCCUUCCUGCUGUUCAAAUCAGAGUCUCGGCCUCUCAUGGCCUCUCCUGCUGCUUCACCCUUGAGCCCCGAGGACAGAGUGGCAGGAGGCGUCUCUGUAACCACAUCACGUGUGGGGGAAAAAUGGCACAGAGCGCUCUUUCCUGGAGCGCGGUCAAUGCAGCAGUACCCCAGGUGCCAGGAAACCCAAGCCUUGGAAACUGUGGCUGCAGGUUCCAUCCCCAGGUUGUGGGUGUGGACCACAUUUGCACCAGCAGCUGGACAAAGGUGAGAGGCUGAGGGCUGCCCAGGCCCCUGGAGGACCAGAGAGAAGCCCGCUUAGGGCAGGCUGGCUACUUGUUUGUCCUGAUGGGAGUCGUGUAGCUAACCUGAAGUGCUAUACUGCCUUCCUUUAGUGACACUCAGAAGAAAAUUAAAUCUUAGGGUCAGCCGUCUUUUGAAGAGUCCUCCCUGCUGCAAUCUUGAAGUGCACCCUCGUUUCAGAAGAGCAGCUCACUUCUCCAGACAAGAGUGCUGCUGAAUUUUAAAGAGGAUUCCACAUCUAUGCUAAAGGAACAUCAGAGGCGCCUUUGGACUGCUCAUGACUGGGGACUAAUUCUCGACCUGGAAGGAAGCAGGCACGAUGCUUCUUCAUUGGGAACGAUGCC